rnacentral:misc_RNA from 1 species
GUGUUAUAGUUUCGGAGAUUUCGUGAUGAAUGAGUCAAUGUACCAUCCCCCGUUUUAACCCCGAAAGGGAGUUGAUUUCUAAAGAUACAUUGUUUAGAGACCUCCUCACCAUCUAUGGAGCAUACAUUUUAAAUUUCAAGUCGUUUACUUCAAAAACAUAGGACUUUCAUACAAACUUCCAACCCCCGUUUUACCCCUCUAGGGGUCGAAUUUCGUAAAACCCGUUCUUAGCGAAUGUUUACGCCCUAUAAGGAGUCUAUCUGCCAAAUUUCAAGUUU